rnacentral:rRNA from 1 species
AUUGAACGCUGGCGGCAGGCCUAACACAUGCAAGUCGAGCGAGCGGCGGACGGGUGAGUAAUGUCUGGGAAACUGCCUGCUGGAGGGGGCUAACUCCUGGAAACGGUAGCUAAUACCGCAUACCAUCAGGUGUCCCCAGAUGUGAUUAGCUGGUAGGUGGGGUAACGGCUCACCUAGGCGACGAUCCCUAGCUGGUCUGAGAGGACGACCAGCCACACUGGAACUGAGACACGGUCCAGACUCCUACGGGAGGCAGCAGUGGGGAAUAUUGCACAAUGGGGGAAAGCCUGAUGCAGCCAUGCCGCGUGUGUGAAGAAGGCCUUCGGGUUGUAAAGCACUUUCAGCGGGGAGGCGUUACCCGCAGAAGAAGCACCGGCUAACUCCGUGCCAGCAGCCGCGGUAAUAC